rnacentral:rRNA from 1 species
CACUAUGUUUAUGCCACUCCAAAUGUGCUCAAUCUCGUCUGAUCUUGGAAGCUAAGCCGGGUUGGGCCAGAUUAGUACUUGGAUGGGAGACCACCUAGGAACACCAGGUGCUAUAGGUG